rnacentral:rRNA from 1 species
UACGAAGGGGGCUAGCGUUGCUCGGAAUCACUGGGGCGUAAAGGGUGCGUAGGCGGGUCUUUAAGUCAGGGGUGAAAUCCUGGAGCUCAACUCCAGAACUGCCUUUGAUACUGAAGAUCUUGAGUCCGGGAGAGGUGAGUGGAACUGCGAGUGUAGAGGUGAAAUUCGUAGAUAUUCGCAAGAACACCAGUGGCGAAGGCGGCUCACUGGCCCGGUACUGACGCUGAGGCACGAAAGCGUGGGGAGCAAACAGG